UAGGGAAUCUUCGGCAAUGGGGGGAACCCUGACCGAGCAACGCCGCGUGAGUGAAGAAGGUUUUCGGAUCGUAAAGCUCUGUUGUUAAGGAAGAACGAGUGUGAGAAUGGAAAGUUCAUGCUGUGACGGUACUUAACCAGAAAGGGACGGCUAACUACGUGCCAGCAGCCGCGGUAAUACGUAGGUCCCGAGCGUUGUCCGGAUUUAUUGGGCGUAAAGCGAGCGCAGGCGGUUAGAAAAGUCUGAAGUGAAAGGCAGUGGCUCAACCAUUGUAGGCUUUGGAAACUGUUGAACUUGAGUGCAGAAGGGGAGAGUGGAAUUACAUGUGUAGCGGUGAAAUGCGUAGAUAUAUGGAGGAACACCGGUGGCGAAAGCGGCUCUCUGGUCUGUAACUGACGCUGAGGCUCGAAAGAGUGGGGAGCGAACAGG
rnacentral:rRNA from 1 species